rnacentral:rRNA from 1 species
AUGUCAACAUGAGCAAAUUUAGGGCUACAAGACAGUACUUCUCCAUUAAUAGAACAACUUACAUUCUUUCACGAUCACGCACUAUUAAUUCUAGUAAUAAUCACAGUACUAGUAGGAUACAUUAUAAUCAUACUAUUCUUUAACAAUUAUACCAACCGAUUCCUACUUCACGGACAAACUAUUGAAAUAAUCUGAACCAUUUUACCAGCUAUUGUUUUAUUAUUUAUUGCCUUCCCUUCAUUACGUCUCCUAUAUUUACUAGAUGAAAUUAAUGAACCAAUUAUUACAUUAAAAACUAUCGGUCACCAAUGAUACUGAAGCUAUGAAUAUUCAGAUUUUAUAGACUUAGAAUUUGAUUCCUACAUAAUGCCUAUUAACGAACUACCAUUAGAUGGAUUACGAUUACUAGAUGUAGAUAAUCGAGUAGUUUUACCAUUAAAUACUCAAAUUCGAGUACUAAUUACUGCAGCAGAUGUAAUUCAUUCAUGAACAGUUCCAGCCCUAGGAGUAAAAGUAGAUGGCGCCCCGGGGCGUCUAAACCAAACGAAUUUUUCUAUUAGACGUCCUGGAACAUUUUAUGGACAAUGCUCAGAAAUUUGUGGAGCUAACCAUAGCUUUAUACCAAUUGUAAUUGAAAGUGUUCCAGUUAACUACUUCAUUAAAUGAUUAUCA